AAACACAACCAAAAAAAAGAAAAAGAAAAAGAAAAAAAUAGUAGUUAAAGCAGCUCUCAAUAAAAAAAAGGGAAAACUUCCAAUGCCCCUCACGUGGUUUCACACUUUUUCAUUUUAAUAUCCUAUGAUUUAAAGUGUAUCAAUUUAGUAUCACGUGAUUUCAUUUUUAUCUUUUCGUCAGUUUUUCUUCGUUAAUAUUUUGUUAAAUUAUAUACAAAAUACUUCAUAUAUCCCAUAUAAGUUUAUCGAAUAAUCACUUUAGUGCCCUUUAGUUUUAACUUUGUCACCGAUUUAACGAAAAAAAUUAGUGGAAUCGAUAAUAAAAAGAUAAAAUGAAACUAGAGAGAUUUAUCGGUUUUUAUGAAAUUUUCAUUUUCUUCAACUGGUUAAUCAUUUGGCUCUAUGGGACUUUUUUCGAAAAUAACUCUCUGAAUUUUUGUAAUUGGCCAAAUAACCCUGUGAAAAUUUUAUUUGUGAAACUAACCCUCCUCUCGCCACUUCAGCCGCCACAUCAGCAUUUCUCACAAAGACGGUGACUCGUUCACCGUCUUUAGUGCGACCUCUUAAAGACGGUAAAUGGUUUACCGUCUUCUAGGCGUGGACCACCUGAGAAGACGAUGACUCGCUCACCGUCUUAACAAAGGCGGUGAAUAGUCUACCGCCUUAUCUAGGCGUAAACCAUUCACCGCCUUCUCAGCAAUUCCCCCUCCUUCUCAGCAAUUCCCCGCUUAGUGUAAGGUGCCCAGAGAAAACGGUGACUCGUUUACCGUCUUAUGAAGACGGUGAACUGUUUACCGCC
rnacentral:lncRNA from 1 species